UUAAUACUCCCUCCGUUCCGAAUUACUCGUCGCAGAAAUGGAUGUAUCUAGAUGUAUUUUAGUUCUAGAUACAUCCAUUUCUGCGACGAGUAAUUUGGAACGGAGGGAGUAGUUG
rnacentral:pre_miRNA from 1 species